rnacentral:rRNA from 1 species
UACGGGGGGAGCAGGCGUUGUUCGGAUUUAUUGGGCGUAAAGCGCGCGCAGGCGGCUAUGUAAGUCUGAUGUUAAAGCCCGAGGCUCAACCUCGGUUCGCAUUGGAAACUGUGUAGCUUGAGUUUGGGAGAGGGAUGCGGAAUUCCAGGUGUAGCGGUGAAAUGCGUAGAUAUCUGGAGGAACACCGGUGGCGAAGGCGGCAUCCUGGACCGGUAUUGACGCUGAGGCGCGAAAGCCAGGGGAGCAAACGGG